AUCUAAGGCCAUGCCACCCUGAACAAGCCCAAUCCCAUCUGAUCUCGGAAGCUAAGCAGGGUUGGGCCUGGUUAGUACUUGGAUGGGAGACCUCACCGUGGAAGACCAGGUGCUGUUGGCA
rnacentral:rRNA from 1 species